UAGAGAAAGCCCAAGCAAAGACUAUGUA
rnacentral:piRNA from 1 species